rnacentral:tRNA from 1 species
GGGGAUUUGGCUCAGUGGUAGAGCGCUUGCCUAGCAAGUGCAAGACCCUGGGUUCAAUCCCCAGCUCCG